AGCCUAUAUCACUGUGUUUUGUUAUUUCAUUUGGACUGUUCUGUUAUUUGAAGAAAGCAAGCCUGUACGGUACUGUGUGCCUAAUAAACCCUGAAAAGAGACUGUUUGAGUGGUCCCGUCUCACACCAGUCUUACAUGGAUCUGGGACAC